CUACGUUUCGCUGGAUGGUUAGGGAAUCAGUUCCCGUGGAAGUGCAUCAGAAUCAGAGCGUUUAUUCGCCUAGAAUCCUAUCCAAACACGGCCCAAAUCUCUCCUCCACCUCCCCGUCGCCACCCGCCUCCUCGCGCUUCCCCACCAUGGCUCCCAGGCCGCCGGCGCCGGGGGAGGGGAGACCGAGAUGCAACCCGACCGCGGCUCGCUUCCGCCUCCCCUACCGCGGCUGCUGCGGCGAUCCAACCCGACCCCACCUCCACUCCGCCGCCGCCGCCCUCGCCGUACGGAGCAAGGGUCCCGGCGGCCGCGAGCACCCAGCGCCGCCGCCUCCGUCCACGCGUCCGCACGCUACCACCGUCGCGCCCUCGACUCCUCCGCCCGUCCCCGGCGGCGAUCCGGCCGGCCCCGGAACCCUAGGGUUCCGCCGCAGCAGGAAGCUGGAAGGAAGCGUGCUUUAGUUGAUGUGUGUAGAUAUGGCAAAGGAAAUUGUGAAAAUAAAUGGUUAUUCUAAUGUUUUCAGGCCAUCACUGCAAAUAUGGAUAUGGCUCCAUUCAAGCUGGAUAUUGAUGACCUGAUAGCUGAUUAUGCCAAGGAAAAUUUUGUCAAAAAAAUUAUGUGUGUUAUGUAUGUAUAGUUAUAUACUCGGAUGAGUAGGUUUGGAAGCAUGAAAUAGUGUUCUACAAAGACAAGUAUAAGAAAGCAACCAGAGAGAAAGAGUGAUUAAAAACCAAGGUAUCUACCCAUCACUGAAUUUUCUAUCUAUUUCAGCUGUAUGGAUUAGAAUUACAUAUCAAUACAACUGCACUUUCAAUUGUGGGCUGUUAAGUGAAAAUGAUUAGUAAGCAUUUAAGUCUGGAGCUAUUCAAAAGAGUUUUAACCAUAUUAUCUCCUGCCCAGAAUUAUCUCGGCCCAUCUUCAGCAGCUUCAAAUGAAAAUUUGGGACAGCACCAAUUCAUAUGUUAUCUAACUGUUGUUAGAGUGCAAAUUGCUUAUCCCUUUUAAGUUAUUCAUAUCUAUAUUUGUGCAUGACUGUAACAUAAUUCUUGUGUUUUUGGUCAGAUUACCCUUUGAUGAUAAUGCAAAUGUUUUUGGUCAGAUCAUAUGUUCUUCUCAUGUGCAUUCUGUUAAUCGUUUGUUGUUGGUACCAUGGCACUAAAUAAGCUCCAGGUACAUGCAUUUUGUUGAAUACGUCCAUUUUGGUACCAUGUGCAUUCUGUUAGACAAUUAUGUUCUGCUUGAUGAAUACGUCCAUUUUGGUGACUAUAGCUUGGAUGCAUUAGUAUAUCAAAAUAUGCACACUUACACACCGACACACCAUAUAUGAACAUGCAGCUUUGAGGAUGAACUGAAGCUUGUCAAGCUAAGAGGAGAAAUUAUGCAGGUUCGUCUACAGAAACACUAAGGGAUUAUUUGUUUGAUAUUGUACAAUGAAUUGUCCAUCAUCUGUGUAGGAUAGGGAUACUUAAGAAGCAGCCAAUGGUGUGAUGGUUAGUGACUUACUGUGAUUGGCCAAUAGUGCAAACUUUCUCUAUUCUGUAAGAUUAUUGUAAUGUAAGAUUGUAAUCUGGUGCUACUAAUAAUUGUGAUGUAAAGUGAAUCUUAAGAUGAACAAUUGUUGUUGGAAAUUACACUUCACGCAUGUAUGCAUGUGUGAUCAGAGGAGGAACUUUCCUGUAGCUUUUAA